rnacentral:rRNA from 1 species
GGGUUGUGAGGUUAAGCGACUAAGCGUACACGGUGGAUGCCCUGGCAGUCAGAGGCGAUGAAGGACGUGCUAAUCUGCGAUAAGCGUCGGUAAGGUGAUAUGAACCGUUAUAACCGGCGAUUUCCGAAUGGGGAAACCCAGUGUGUUUCGACACACUAUCAUUAACUGAAUCCAUAGGUUAAUGAGGCGAACCGGGGGAACUGAAACAUCUAAGUACCCCGAGGAAAAGAAAUCAACCGAGAUUCCCCCAGUAGCGGCGAGCGAACGGGGAGGAGCCCAGAGUCUGAAUCAGUGUGUGUGUUAGUGGAAGCGUCUGGAAAGGCGCGCGAUACAGGGUGACAGCCCCGUACACAAAAAUGCACAUGCUGUGAGCUCGAUGAGUAGGGCGGGACACGUGGUAUCCUGUCUGAAUAUGGGGGGACCAUCCUCCAAGGCUAAAUACUCCUGACUGACCGAUAGUGAACCAGUACCGUGAGGGAAAGGCGAAAAGAACCCCGGCGAGGGGAGUGAAAAAGAACCUGAAACCGUGUACGUACAAGCAGUGGGAGCACGCUUAGGCGUGUGACUGCGUACCUUUUGUAUAAUGGGUCAGCGACUUAUAUUCUGUAGCAAGGUUAACCGAAUAGGGGAGCCGAAGGGAAACCGAGUCUUAACUGGGCGUUAAGUUGCAGGGUAUAGACCCGAAACCCGGUGAUCUAGCCAUGGGCAGGUUGAAGGUUGGGUAACACUAACUGGAGGACCGAACCGACUAAUGUUGAAAAAUUAGCGGAUGACUUGUGGCUGGGGGUGAAAGGCCAAUCAAACCGGGAGAUAGCUGGUUCUCCCCGAAAGCUAUUUAGGUAGCGCCUCGUGAAUUCAUCUCCGGGGGUAGAGCACUGUUUCGGCAAGGGGGUCAUCCCGACUUACCAACCCGAUGCAAACUGCGAAUACCGGAGAAUGUUAUCACGGGAGACACACGGCGGGUGCUAACGUCCGUCGUGAAGAGGGAAACAACCCAGACCGCCAGCUAAGGUCCCAAAGUCAUGGUUAAGUGGGAAACGAUGUGGGAAGGCCCAGACAGCCAGGAUGUUGGCUUAGAAGCAGCCAUCAUUUAAAGAAAGCGUAAUAGCUCACUGGUCGAGUCGGCCUGCGCGGAAGAUGUAACGGGGCUAAACCAUGCACCGAAGCUGCGGCAGCGACGCUUAUGCGUUGUUGGGUAGGGGAGCGUUCUGUAAGCCUGUGAAGGUGUGCUGUGAGGCAUGCUGGAGGUAUCAGAAGUGCGAAUGCUGACAUAAGUAACGAUAAAGCGGGUGAAAAGCCCGCUCGCCGGAAGACCAAGGGUUCCUGUCCAACGUUAAUCGGGGCAGGGUGAGUCGACCCCUAAGGCGAGGCCGAAAGGCGUAGUCGAUGGGAAACAGGUUAAUAUUCCUGUACUUGGUGUUACUGCGAAGGGGGGACGGAGAAGGCUAUGUUGGCCGGGCGACGGUUGUCCCGGUUUAAGCGUGUAGGCUGGUUUUCCAGGCAAAUCCGGAAAAUCAAGGCUGAGGCGUGAUGACGAGGCACUACGGUGCUGAAGCAACAAAUGCCCUGCUUCCAGGAAAAGCCUCUAAGCAUCAGGUAACAUCAAAUCGUACCCCAAACCGACACAGGUGGUCAGGUAGAGAAUACCAAGGCGCUUGAGAGAACUCGGGUGAAGGAACUAGGCAAAAUGGUGCCGUAACUUCGGGAGAAGGCACGCUGAUAUGUAGGUGAAGUCCCUCGCGGAUGGAGCUGAAAUCAGUCGAAGAUACCAGCUGGCUGCAACUGUUUAUUAAAAACACAGCACUGUGCAAACACGAAAGUGGACGUAUACGGUGUGACGCCUGCCCGGUGCCGGAAGGUUAAUUGAUGGGGUCAGCGCAAGCGAAGCUCUUGAUCGAAGCCCCGGUAAACGGCGGCCGUAACUAUAACGGUCCUAAGGUAGCGAAAUUCCUUGUCGGGUAAGUUCCGACCUGCACGAAUGGCGUAAUGAUGGCCAGGCUGUCUCCACCCGAGACUCAGUGAAAUUGAACUCGCUGUGAAGAUGCAGUGUACCCGCGGCAAGACGGAAAGACCCCGUGAACCUUUACUAUAGCUUGACACUGAACAUUGAGCCUUGAUGUGUAGGAUAGGUGGGAGGCUUUGAAGUGUGGACGCCAGUCUGCAUGGAGCCGACCUUGAAAUACCACCCUUUAAUGUUUGAUGUUCUAACGUUGACCCGUGAUCCGGGUUGCGGACAGUGUCUGGUGGGUAGUUUGACUGGGGCGGUCUCCUCCUAAAGAGUAACGGAGGAGCACGAAGGUUGGCUAAUCCUGGUCGGACAUCAGGAGGUUAGUGCAAUGGCAUAAGCCAGCUUGACUGCGAGCGUGACGGCGCGAGCAGGUGCGAAAGCAGGUCAUAGUGAUCCGGUGGUUCUGAAUGGAAGGGCCAUCGCUCAACGGAUAAAAGGUACUCCGGGGAUAACAGGCUGAUACCGCCCAAGAGUUCAUAUCGACGGCGGUGUUUGGCACCUCGAUGUCGGCUCAUCACAUCCUGGGGCUGAAGUAGGUCCCAAGGGUAUGGCUGUUCGCCAUUUAAAGUGGUACGCGAGCUGGGUUUAGAACGUCGUGAGACAGUUCGGUCCCUAUCUGCCGUGGGCGCUGGAGAACUGAGGGGGGCUGCUCCUAGUACGAGAGGACCGGAGUGGACGCAUCACUGGUGUUCGGGUUGUCAUGCCAAUGGCACUGCCCGGUAGCUAAAUGCGGAAGAGAUAAGUGCUGAAAGCAUCUAAGCACGAAACUUGCCCCGAGAUGAGUUCUCCCUGACCCUUUAAGGGUCCUGAAGGAACGUUGAAGACGACGACGUUGAUAGGCCGGGUGUGUAAGCGCAGCGAUGCGUUGAGCUAACCGGUACUAAUGAACCGUGAGGCUUAACCUUACAACGCCGAAG